GCCGAGUUUACCAUUUGAAAACCAACAUUAUGACACUUGCAGAGUUACAUUGGAAGAGGCUUUCCAAGAAGCAGAUAAAUAGAGAAAAAUUGCCACUAACAAGGAGAAAGAGCUUUCAACUGAUACCAAACUCAACCGAUUUCCGGUGAAACUGUACUAUCAAGAUAUCCACCAAUCAGAGGACCUGGAGCUGGAGGCAGCAAGGGGGAAGUGAGUCCUUGCUGUCAUGCCACAGAGGAUAAAAGACCAAAGCCCUCCAGACAUUCAGAGAAUGUGGUCUUCUCUCCUCUUCUGAGGCAUGUGGUUUAGGAAAAGAUACAGGAGUGACACAAUAAAAAGGAGCUGAGAACACCAAAAAUUCUGAUGCAAACCAUGUGGUGGUAAGAAGGAACUGGAAAGGCUUUGGCCCACAUCGCCCUUUAUGACCUUGGUUGGGAGCAUAAGGAGAGCUACUGCACGUGUGCAAGCCAAUGGACAAUGCCUACAAGAAAUUCCGGACACAGGCGCAUGAUGCACAUGCAUAUCCCACAUAUGGAUACACAUAGGGAUCAUCACUCAAAGAAGAAUCAUGAUACCAAAAAAAGAAAAUCCUCACGAUUUUUAAGCGAGUUGUAUUACUUUUUUAGUCUGGUACCUGACUUUUGACUUUUUAGGGGGAAUUUCCCCUUUGUGUAGGAGCAUUUCAGAAAAAGGUCAUCCUGAAAUGCACAAUCUGGGAGACGUCCUCUUCUUUUUACUUCUGGUUGAUAGGCAGGACACUUCAAUAUCAUCCUUUUCCUAGGCACUGAUCUCAGCUCUCUCUUCUGUGCCUUACACCCUGCAGCCCUCUCUAAUAGGCACUAACCCCAAUCUUACUGUACUUUCUCUAGGCACUGCCCCAUCUAGCUCCCACCCAUUGACACAGUCUCCCGCCGCUGUAACUGGCUGAUGGCCCUGCCAUUUCCCUGGAUGCUGCCCUGUUCUAGGAGAGUGAAGUCAAGCUGGGGCUGACUCCCAGAAGGUUGAAGAAGAGGAAGACACUCCUGGGAUACUUUCACAACCCCACCCCUUCACCUCCUUAGGGCUGAACAAAGGAACAGGAUGGGAAAGAGCUACCCCCCAAGCUAGCACCCUCAGCACUUUCUCAGCUCCAUGGGCUGCUCUUCCCAUCCUAACCCAGGUAGCACAUGCAGGAAAGCAGAGAAGUCCUGCUUCAGUUACUCCAUUUUAAUUCACAUAAUUAUUUCAAGACUGAGACUUAAGACAGUUCCUAUAAUGAACUUUAGAA